CAUGCUAGACGUAGUUUGAUCCUGGCUCAGAACGAACGCUGGCGGCAGGCUUAACACAUGCAAGUCGAACGCUCCCUUCGGGGAGAGUGGCAGACGGGUGAGUAACGCGUGGGAAUCUACCCAUCCCUACGGAACAACUCCGGGAAACUGGAGCUAAUACCGUAUACGCCCUUCGGGGGAAAGAUUUAUCGGGGAUGGAUGAGCCCGCGUUGGAUUAGCUAGUUGGUGGGGUAAUGGCCUACCAAGGCGACGAUCCAUAGCUGGUCUGAGAGGAUGAUCAGCCACACUGGGACUGAGACACGGCCCAGACUCCUACGGGAGGCAGCAGUGGGGAAUAUUGGACAAUGGGCGCAAGCCUGAUCCAGCCAUGCCGCGUGAGUGAUGAAGGCCCUAGGGUUGUAAAGCUCUUUCAACGGUGAAGAUAAUGACGGUAGCCGUAGAAGAAGCCCCGGCUAACUUCGUG
rnacentral:rRNA from 1 species